GGCCCGUGCUCAGCAGGACCCUGCGGCGGGUCCUGCCCGGGCGGCGGGACAGGAGCUGAGAGGAGAGGAGGCUGCAGCGCGCCCUGCCCUGCCCCGAGCCCCCGGCCCCAGUCCCCCCGGCCGCCCCGAGCCCCCGGCCCGCCCGCAGCCGAUGCCUCUGCCCGCAGCGUCGAGCGCGGCCGCCCCGGGAUGGAGGGCAGCUGCAGCGUACCCUUCUGCCAACAGCCCCGGAUGCCUGCAGACCCGCCUGAGCCAGCACCAACAUGGAGCCUUCCACGUGUGCUCGACUCCAUACAUGCAGGAACCACCUUCUUGGAGGCUACAGAAACGGGGUUAGAGCCCUCUCCACAUGAUCUCAAAAGCUGAACUGCUCCGAAUUCACAUGCCCAAGCAGAACCUGUUUUUCCUGACUGUGCCCUGCACUCAGCUCUCCGUCUUGCCUGCAGUGCUGUAAAACAGGUCCUAUUCACCUGCUGAGCAUCCAGUGGUGUUGACUGGGAUGACUGGAGGAGCCCAUCUCUUGUCCUCUGAUAUCAGGAACUUGUUAGAAGGAAACCUAGGCAAUAAGUAAGGAAAUCUCACCAGGAGCAACACCCAGGUGCAGGAACCAAAUGUCUGUGUGCACCAGAAUUCAAUUGAUGCAAAGAAGCUGAAUUUAAAAUGCAGUACAGAGCAAACCAGGGCCAGCUGGAGGACUGGAGGAAGGAGAAGAGAAAGAAGCCUGGGGAGGCAGCAGGCAGAAAUGCUGAGCUGUGACACAUUCCUUCUGGUGGUUUCACACAAAGAAAGCAAAACUUUCUGAAGCUUCAGAAAUCUCUGCUGGCUUAUGCUGUUUCUGAGGUACAUCCAAGAGAGUGGACACAUAUGAGUCCUUGCAGCUCCUUUUGAAGGUCUGAAGGCUUUGUUUUCUAGGAGAAAAGCCUGUCUGAGCAUUAUUUGUGCUGGACUGAACUUCAAACAAAAUUGCUGCUAGGAACUGACAGCAUGUAUGACAGCUAGUGUUGGCAACCUGCACUUGCGUUUCCAGGAGUUUUGCAAGCCCAUGAGACAGAUGUGCUCAUCUUUCUGAAAGACAAUGUUUCUGAAAAGACUCCCCCUGCAGCCCUUGGUCUCCUGGCCGGCCAGCGCAGAGCGAGUGCUGUUAGUUUGUGCACUGACUAUGUUUGAAGUUGUGCACGACCAGCAGCCCUGGAGCUUUUUUUCCACAGAUGAUGCUUCUCCUUGCCCGUGCUUCUCUUCAUACCUUUCCCACUUUAAGGAAAAGCAGAAGGAAAUGAAAGACAUUCUGCCCAGAUCAGGUUCUUGCUGAGGAGAACUGAAGGAGGCAGGGUCUGCUGCUUUCUGGAUGGAGUAUUUUUAUAGUCUGCAUCGUAAGAAAACCCACACAUGAAGAAAGAAGUAACUGGAAAACAAACUACAGGCAUGGCCACUAAUUCUCCUGGGGAAGGGACAUCCUGCCUUCUCCAAGCAUCCAGACCUGAGCAGAGCACGUGAGAUUUCCAUGAGCAUGCUAUGAAAUAUUUAAUUCCAAACACAAGAUAAAUGCAGUUGGAGUGGAUCUUGACUUGCACCAAGAAGUCAAAGCAGCCAUGAAAGGAGCACAGAGUACAGCAAUACAUCCAGAUGAAAGUGAAUGGUGAAUCGGGAGAGCGCUCGAGCAUGUGGUUACAGCAACAGCUCCCAGAGUCCCUCUGCAGCAGCUCUGCUGGAAGGCCAGGGCUUUUUACCCACCCUCACUGGAGGAAGGGUCCCAAUUUAAAGACGAUCCAAAAUAAGACAGAGUUUCAACUGGACAACAGUGUCUGGGGGGCACACACCACCCAGCAGUGGGACCAACCCAGCCAGGCUCAGCCCUGCCUGUGGGCACAGCCCUUCUGCCUGCAGGUGCAGAGGAGCCGUGUUUGCUGCUGCUCCCUGCUGCUCCCUCCUGCUGCCCAGAGGGGAUCCGUGGGGCACCUUCCAUGGAGGCUGCAUGGAGACAGGUAAUGGAAGUCUCAAAUGUCCAGGAGGAUUUUCCCACAGCUCACCUGGAUCCAGCUGGCAGUCUCUGGAGACUCCAUUGCCUGUCACACUUUUUCCUCUGCAGUAACUAAGGCAGUAGCCAGCUUUCCUGUUCUUGAUCCCUUCCCAUGGGCCUGCCCAGGGAACAAGGGACUCUGUUCCAGCCUUGGGCCACCUGUCAGGUCAGGGUCAGCCUAACUGAGGAGUUUUCUUCUAUUUUUGAUGCCAUGGUGGCAUCUCAUAAGACCACUUGCUGCUAAUUUCUGCACUGUGUGAUGCAGUGUAAGGGCCAAUCAUAAUGUUCAAUUACAAAGUGUUGUGAAUAAGUAUCUGCCAACGUCUGCAUGUGUCUGAGGUCAAUGGGUUUACAUUCCUGCAAGUCAGAAAACAGGAGCAUGAUCUCAUUCCCGUGCCAGUUUCUCCACAUUACAAAGUCACCACAAGACAUGACGACACAUUGUUCCUGCUCAGGAAGGAUGGGACUGAGGGCUUGUCUGAACUGCUGGGGAGAACAGCCUGGGAGGAGCAGACAGGCACAGGCAGCCUCCAGGUAGGAAUGCAGUGGAGAGCAGCAGGCUGGUUCUCCCACAGCAGCAAGCAGCCCAGCUCACAGUAUAUGCCUCCCAACAAGCUGAAAUGCCUGGUCUUUACUGUAUUUUUACCAGUCCUUCAGGCUCCUUAGUAAAACUGCACCAUCCCUUAGGACUGCAAGAUCUCAGUGACCACAUUUGCUUGGUGCUUGCCUACCUGGUGGGUGAAUGAGGUCUGCUUGAAAGUGUCCAGCCCCCAUGGUCAGUGAAGGGGAGGAGAGCAGAAGAGGGGCAGGCAGCUAUGCAAAACCUCCAGAUAGGAAUUCCCACUCCUCAUUGGUUAUUCUGUGCAGUAGUGCAUGAAUACCUUAACUAAACUGUUGUGAUUAUUUUUAUCACCCUUACUGCUGUCACUCUGAAUGUUACUGUUAUCCUUAUAAAUACACAUUCCCCUUGCUGAAGAAAUAUCUGCCAUCCAGCUAACAUGCCCUGUGACUUUGAAAUCAGUACACUAAAUGUAUUGAUGGAAUUGAAAAAUUUUUACUGGAACGCAAAGCCACUGGAGAAUGUUCUAAAGGCCUGGAUGGUCUUGAUCUUAGAAAAAGGAAUGCAUCCAUCCUCCUCCAAUUUAAUACAAACCCACGUAAGCACAGCACGUGUGAGAGCACAUGUUGACGAAUGGUGAAGCUGCCUCUGACACUCCCUUGGAUCAUGGUUCACUGCAAAAGUGUUGUCUUCACAGAGACUGCCACUGAUGGUAUGCUCAGGACCUGGUCUCCAUGCUCAGAGAUAAAGUUUCUUACUCUUUCUUUCAAAAGCUACAGAACCUCACUACACUUGCUGCUUUGGGCCCAGGCCUGUUAGUCUUGCUCCCAUGAAUAAGCCUGAUUCAUGAACAUACUUACGCCAUGAGAAAAAGCUUUUAUGGAAUGAUGUUGUAAGUACUAGUGAAAAGCUAAGCUAGAUAGUGCCUAGAUAAGACAGUGAUGAAUACAUGACUGUCAGUUUUUUGUAUUUAUGGGCAGACCCUAACACCCACAGAGUGACUGUACAUACUGAGUGACAGCAAAUGAUGAAGUCAAUUUUUGAAGACUACUUGGAUAACGCGAUUAAUUCUUUUCAAUACAUAAAACUUGAAUAGGGCUCUGGGAAUUAGCAACAUAGAAAUCAUGCUGAUGGUGAGGAAUUAAAAAUGCUCUCCAAACAAGAAAUUGAGGAAGUCUUUAGGGAGGUCUUGUGGUGAACUUGAUAAAUCUUUCGACAGUUUUUAAUUCUGAGUAUUAGUUAUUUCACAACCUGCAGUGCUCCCUUAGCAGCUGCUACAGGAUGUUGGAUAAACUGUGGUGGCAACGUGAGCUUUUGCCACAGGCCAGGAUCAUGAAACUAUAGGUGGCUCAUUUGUCAUCCUGAAUCUGCCCCUGCUUUUGUUAUUUUAUAACUGCAGAUCUCAAGACAAUUAACAGCACUGGAUAUUCAUCAACCUGAUUUCGAAAACGGAGUAACUGUGAUGUAAUGAGAUGAAGAAACUCCCUUGCUGUCACUGAAGGAAUGGGCAUCCAUACAAGGAUUAGAGCACGUUUCCUCAUUCCUGGUGCCAUUUGUCAUCCACCACCCAGGAAUGCCAAAGCCACCACUUCUUGCCAUUCACUAUGUUUCAGCAGAACAGGGCCCUGGGGGACCAGGCAUUACAUCUCCACUUUUCACCCUUGUUUUUUUAAGAGAGUCUGCUAUGACUAAAAGGAGGGGCCCGGCAGCUGCAGAAGCAAGCCCAGGAUGUGCACCCUGUCACCACACAGCUCCUCUCACAGGUCUACCUCUCCUGUUCCCUCUCUCCAUCCUCCAGUAUGCACAUCCAGUAAUUUUCACAGGUAUCCACAGGGUACUUCUCGGGUGCUUUGUGCUACCAGAGGUCAGUGUCUACGGAAUCAGAUUGUACACAACUUCUGUAUUGGUGCAGUUCUUCCAGAUAGGUACCAGCACAAUUAAGACCAAGGUUUGUCUUGCAUUAUAUUUAGGGAAUUUAGAAGCAAACUUGACAUCAAAUUUCUUUGCCUCUGUUUUCUUCUACAAUGCACUAUUGUAAAUUUUUUUUAAAACUCUGCUAAUACUCAUGAAAAAAAACAUUGCUGAGUUAUUCUGUUCUUCUUGGUUUAUAACCUGUGAAAAUAAGCUCAUAAAACUCUAACACACCUUUAACUUCCACGCCUGUCAAGAUAUUCUGAUACUUUUCUUUUUUGCAACAUAGCAUGGAGGAGACUGUGGACAAGUGCCUUCAAGUUAACUCAUUAUCAGAGCUGUGAAGGGAGCUUGUAAUUCAGGUUCUGUGUCACCUGAGAAAAACUGUAGAAUGUUCAUCUCUGCCCCCUGCACCCACCCAGGUGUGGUAUCAGAUUCUGGUUGCUUUAAUCACUGUAACUUCUCUUUAUUACUUGAAUGAGCAGGCUGUCUGCAUCCCUUUCCUCCAGCCAGGUUGCUGCUGUGCUGUGUGUUACCCAGCUUUUUCUGAUCUGUGGUUGUAGAGCCCCAAAUGGCUUAAUUUCCCAGGUGCUACUCCCCAUAAACCUACCAUCACAAUAAAGGGAGAAGGGUUUCCUUGCAGUCAUGAUCCCACCAUCAGUGCUCUGUCAUAAAGCCUUCUCUUUAACAGCUGAGUGGGCCAGUGCCAGCAACUCCUGCAGAGAGGAAUCCAUCCAGGCUGGAGGGAGGGUCAGUGGGGACUGAGGGUGUGGUUUUCAUUUUGGUAUUGCACCAAGAGGAGUCUAGAGAGGUGUUGAGUCCAAUGAUUUACAAAGCAAAAAUGGGGUUACAAGGUUCCUAUCUACACGCAAUUGUACGUGAGUCACAGAAGGAAGGCAGGAACAUUGCACAUUCUACAGGGUAAAGUCACACAAACUUGUCACUUGGGGUUACUUGCUGCAGAACACAAGUCCCUGCCUGGCCACUGACUUGAUUUCAUGUCCCACAGCUUGUCCCUGUGCACACUUGCCAAAGGAAAAUCCCAGCCCCAACUACUGGAUUCAGUUAUGCUGAUGUGACCUAAAUGCACAUUCUUAUAUAAAAUCUCUAGCAACUGGCUAGGGAGACAGCAGGCUUUGGCUUGCAGUCCUCCAACUGCUCUGCCGGAGAGCUCUGCUGACCCAGCAGGAGACCACCAGCCCUGGGAAGCCCCUGCAGCUCCAUGGACCCCAGCAGCACUGGCCACCAGUGGAGGGUCUUACAGCAGGACCCAGCGAAUUUCCUCCUGCUGCCAAAGCAGGAGGCAGAAAUGGGAAAGCAAAUGCCAUAGGGAAAGAAGUAACCAGAAAAUGUGGGAGGGAACUGAAAGCAUCUUGCUCCUCCUUGCACAGCUUCAUUUCCAGCUCUGCUCUGCAUCACCUCUGUUAUAAGCUAAACCUUGUUUCCCUUGGCUGAGGAUGCACAAAGAAGUAUGGCCUCAAAAAUCCUUAAGUAAUUUAACACCCCAAAUCACUUUUUCUCCCAUAUCCUAUGUGGUGUCCAUGCAUUUGCAAAAAUACAGAUGCAGAAACAACAGACUAGUGCAACAUGUAUUAUCCAGUCCACAGCUACAGACUUAGAAAUCUGAGUAUGCUGGCAUUCUUGAAGAGUCUUUUCAAAUCGGUUUUUAAUGUGUUUUCAUGCUAGUUUGAACAGCUUCCCACGUGCACAUUUUAACUUUCAAAAUAAUCUGAAACCACUUUCUGCUACUUGCAUGUACGUUGGUGUCACUUACCCUUCCUAUCCUUACAGAGUUCACCACGAACUUUCCCACAUGCUAAAUCUUUCAUACUAAAUAUUUAUUCACCAUUAGAAAAGUUUUUUACCACACGACUAAAUACUGAAAUGUUUACACAGGUUAUCUGUGAUACUGGUCUACACAGAAUAAAACCACAGCUCCACAGCACUGCUCUGUAUUUCAGCAUCAUAACUUCCACCAUCAUCUCCUCCAGUUUGUUCUGACCUGUGUGUACUUGCAAAGACCUUGAUGAUACGAUAACCUUUCAACUGGAGCAGCCUGUGACUGGACAGAGUCACCUCUAGCAUCACCCUGGGAAGAAACUGAUUCACUGAAGCACAAUGGAGCCAGCAGACCAGGAAUUACACCCUGUGUGUCUUUCCCUGCAGGGAGCUGCUUCCCCCAGGCAGGGAGCAGGGAGCAGGGAGGAGCGUGCCCACCACCUCCCUGUCUGGGCUGGCCAGGCCGGGCCCCGCACUGAGACAACACCAGGGCCACCCACUCUCUGACAGGAACGUUUUCCCAUGGCCUACAUCCUUUCCUUCAGAAAACUUCCUUUUAUAGCUCGCGUCUUGUGCUCAGCCUGUUUUGCCUGCUUUCCGCGAGCCAGCGUUCAAUUAGCAGCUGUAAAUAGCACGGACUGCUGGGUAAGGGCCGCGCAACUCGCAGGCGAACCUUCCCACAGGGUGUGUGAGCUCUGCAGGAGGCUGAGACCCUCCAGAGUUGUGUCGGUCCCACCACAGAGCACUGUGCAGCCUGCAGGUCUGUGGCAGAGAAUAGCACUGUCUUCACUGAUUGUCUCUGCCCAUUGUUAUUGGCACCGGACAAGAAGGAAAAAAAAAAAUCAGCUCCAAAACAAGAAGGAGAAAUGUCCUAAAACUUGAAAAAAUCAGGGGGUCUUUGAUCUACACAGUGCCCGAUUCAUAGCAGGAUAUGAAAUCUGAGGGCCCCCUGAGGGGAAAAAGUGAGAAACCAAAUGGCUUUUAUAUCAGAAUGCAAACUGAAGGUGCCAAUGCUGAAAGACUGGAAAAUUAAGAACAAAACUUUUCCCUUUUCCUUCAGCUGAUCUUCUGUUUGUAUGACUCUAUCCUCUGAAAACUGUAUGACCUAAUGCUGAAAAAAACCCCCAAAACCUCCUGUACUGGAGAGAGCACAAUAAAACUGCUUACAAGCUGAAUUAGUCAUAAUGUACAUUACUAUGUGCUGUUGGAGUGAGUUAUCUGUGGAGAGUAUCAGCCAGAACAAACAAAUGCCAUUGUCUAUGGAGGGAAAUCUGCAUCACUCAGUGUUCAAUACUCAGACUCUCUCUGUCCACUACUUAAGUAGGGCAGAUGAUUUUAUUUUUCUUUUCUAUUUUUCAAACAUUAUAUAAAAACUGAAAAAGAAAACACAAAAAGAAAACAAAUGAGAAACGCAGGACAAAUUUGUCCUGACCUAAAAGAGGAUUAUUCAAGUGGGGGAAUGACUCCAAAGGCAUUUUAGAACCAUUUUCAAGGGAAUCACACUUAUGUGAGCUGAAAUUGUUAUUGUCUGUAAAGAGGGAGGUGAAAAACCAGAGGUGAGGAGGUGAGUGUAAGAUUUUACUAAUUCAGAGAGAAACAGUCCAUAUAUUUUCACAGAGCAAAUCUCCUUGGAGAUACUGGAUUAUACACCACAUAAUAAUUGCCAUAUGUCUCAUUUUAUCAGGGGGGCCCAUUCUCAAAUGAACGCACAUUAUCCUUGCAGGUUUGUGACCACAAUGGUGACAUAAAAGGAAAUCUUGCAGUGCAGUUAGAGAGAUUCACCUCCGUAUUUUCUACUAUUUUUCCAAACCGUGUCUGGUUUUAAUAUAAAUGCAGCUGACACUUUUUCUAGUAUUUGGAAGAGUAUUUAAAGAACCAGUCAUAACAAUUUGGUGCCUGCAAUGUCAGGCAGUGUUCAGAGCCACAUUUAAUCUCUGUGUCAGCUCCUGCCCAAACCAACCCACAGCACAGGACCUGCUGCAGCACAGAAGGGCAGGAAGGAUCCUCUGUCCUGCUGCAGCUCCAGCAACUGUUCCUACAUGUGUUCUGCUCAAAUGCUCCAGUUGUGAAUUCAUCUCCAUUUCAGACCCAAUUAUAAACUCCUUGAGAAUUCCACAGGCUUUGUGAGCAAUUCAGUUACCUCAUCAGCAGUGCCUGCACUUGACAAGCAUUUUAAUGAAAGAAAAAGACAUGCAUCUACGCAUCACCUUGCUAAGUGCUUGCUGACACCAAUUUCCAAACUGGAUUUUGAUGGGAAUCCUGCUAGGACAAGGUUUUCUAGGUUGAUUCCUGCACUUCACAUAUGCUUUCUAGCAUUAAUUUCAGUUACCCAACUCUGUACAUCUUUAUUGGAGAGCAAGACAACUUUGAGACUUAAUUCCACCUGAUACUUGCACCGUUCAGCAAAUUUAUCUGCAAAUAAGGAAGUUACAGUGUUGUUUCUAAUUCUGUCACUAACUGAACAACCAUAUAAAAACUGCACUAUCGGUAAAUGUA